rnacentral:lncRNA from 1 species
CAAAUCCUAGGUUUCUAGGGCACUUUUAACAGCUGCAGAGUGUACAAGUAGGUUAAUGUAACCUCAGAUUUGCCUUUCAUACCCUUGUCAUGUUAACAGCAGACUGCUGACCUCAACUGGGGACUCCUGAUUUUUCCGAUGUAUCUGUGAUGGAUGGAGAAUGAAGCAGACCCAUGUCAUGUAUGAAACAGGAAGAAGUGGCAUAGUUACGUGGUUAAGCUUUGAUUUGAAGGUUUCACGAGCACACUGCUGUGCGAGUGCCAUGGCUAAGGGAUCGCCGAUUCUUGAUGAGAUUGCUGCAAAAUGCCUGCAGUACUGCUUGGAAAAUAAUAGUCAAGAAUGAGCUGUCAGAAAUUCAAUAUUACACUGGAAGCGUUUAUCAGGUCUCAUGAAUUCCCCUUCUUGCUGAAUGAGGUGGGAGCUGAGUGGUGGAGCCAAAGCAUGUUUAACUGUAUGGAAUUCUUUUUUCAUUUCUUGGAUAAUUUUUUAACUUUCUUUGCUUUUCUUGCUUCACAUUUUCCAAAGCAUAAUGGUCUGAGAAGUAACAGGCUCUGUCAUGUCUUU